ACUACUGGCUCAGGAUGAACGCUAGCGACAGGCUUAACACAUGCAAGUCGAGGGGCAGCAUAAAAGUAGCAAUACUUGGUGGCGACCGGCGCACGGGUGAGUAACGCGUAUGCAACCUACCUAUCAGAGGGGAAUAACCCGGCGGAAGUCGGACUAAUACCGCAUAAAACAGGGGCACCGCAUGGUGAUAUUUGUUAAAGAGAUUCGCUGAUAGAUGGGCAUGCGUUCCAUUAGGUAGUUGGUGAGGUAACGGCUCACCAAGCCGACGAUGGAUAGGGGAACUGAGAGGUUGGUCCCCCACACUGGUACUGAGACACGGACCAGACUCCUACGGGAGGCAGCAGUGAGGAAUAUUGGUCAAUGGGCGGGAGCCUGAACCAGCCAAGUCGCCGUGAAGGAAGAAGGAUCUAUGGUUCGUAAACUUCUUUUGCAGGGGAAUAAAGUGCAGGACGUGUCCUGUUUUGUAUGUACCCUGAGAAUAGGGAUCGGCUAACUCCGUGCCAGCAGCCGC
rnacentral:rRNA from 1 species